GUGAGUCAUCGAAUCUUUGAACGCACAUUGCGCCCUCUGGUAUUCCGGAGGGCAUGCCUGUCCGAGCGUCAUUGCAAACCCUCAAGCACGGCUUGUGUGUUGGGCCUUCGUCCCCCAGAGGACGUGCCUCAAAAGCAGUGACGGCGCACCGAUCUUAGCGUCCGAGUGUAUGGGAAUCUUCCCACUCUAAAGGCGUGGUUGGUUGUGUCGGCUUCCAAGUUGAAUCUAUUCAAGGUUUGACCUCGGAUCAGGUAGGAGUACCCGCUGAACUUAAGCAUAUCAAUAAGCGGAGGA
rnacentral:misc_RNA from 1 species